AGCUGGUCCGAGCGCGGUGGUGUUUAUAACUAAGUGAUCACAACCAGUUACAGAUUUCUUUGUUCCUUCUUCACUCCUACUGCUUUACUUGACUAGCCUAAA
ensembl:misc_RNA Y_RNA Y RNA